AUGCAUCUAUUUGACAGGCCUAGAGCGAUUACUUCUGCUGCUAAGGUUUCUCUUACAGAUACAAGAAAAAAGCAUCCUGGCGCUUUCUGUCUGUCUGUGGCAGCCCAGGUUAAAUGGGGAAAUACAGGG
rfam:Camelus ferus unplaced genomic scaffold scaffold1431, whole genome shotgun sequence.